rnacentral:lncRNA from 1 species
GACCUCGAAAGUGAAAACGGUCGACUGACCAAAACAGAUUGUAUCAACUGCAUACUAAAUGAAGCAAAGAAGCAUAUUUUCCGCCGCCGAGCACCUGGGGAGAAUCCACCUCGUAAAUCGAAGAAACCGAAGAAAAAGAAAAAUCCAAAAGAAGGCCUCUGCGCCUGCUGUGAUCAGAAGAUAGGUUGUCACUUGGAUGGGUCGUACGGCAUGAUUACCGAAUAUAUUUGCAGUAAGGAAUGUCCCCACUGCUAUCGAAAUUGCAUGAACUAUUACAACAACGGAGCUCACCCUUGCCCAGGCGACGGUCCAUGCGACUGAAAACUGGUAUUACCCUGUAUAAACGAAUGCAUGAAUUUUAAAUACAUUUUUGCUCUUUCUUCUUCUUU